UGUUUGUUUAAUGAGUGAUCCUGGUUUGUAUUUAUAUCGUAUGUGACUGAUCUUUCCCAUCAGGUUGAAGUGGAGGAAGAGCACUGAACUUCAAGCUUUAAAGACAUCAGGGAGAGCUGCUGAAAGCAUUUCAUCAUCCCCCAGUCACCUGACUCACUGCAUAUCAACCUUUGUAUUGGUCUGCAGUUGUUUGCUGAGUUCCAUUGCAUCACAAAUAUGAACCUUCACAACACAUGCUACAGCCAGCUGGACCGACACACACAGCUGGUCUCGUACAGGCAGAAGGCCUCAGCGACAUGAGAGACAGGCGCUGCAGGAGGAUUUAUAAGCUGUAGGUAAAUUACAUGCAUAAGAAUAAUUAUUUUAACCUGCAGCUAAGGUUAAUAAUGAUCAUUUAUUCUUAUAGUCAUAAUGAUAAUUUAAAAAUGAAUUUCUUUUUUGGCCUAGGAACAGCAUGAUACACAUGAGACGCACUCUGGCUCUUCAUACCCUCCCAUUGUACUGGCAAGGGGAUCUUCAAGACCUGCAAGUGGGACGAUGAGCUAAACUUUGAAGACACCCCUGUAGCUCUCCUCUAUGUGGUCACUGACAGCUCCACUGGUACCAUCCAGUUCAACCCUGACAGCAUUUCUGAUGUGAUUGAAGCAGACCUUGAUGUGAACCUGGUCUCCCCAGGUUGGAUGAUGCACGUUUUCAUAAUGUUGGUUUUUAUCUGAAGGUAAUCAUUUUAUAAGGUUCCUUAUCUACCUCAGCACAUGAUACGUGUGAUUCAUUAUGUUAAAUCAUUGGAUCUUUAUUUGCUUUUGAUUCCACAAAAGUUAUUUUCUCAUAUUUUGUUUAAAUGUAUUGGUUAUUUCUAAUAAUGUCCUUAAUUUGCACCUUUUAGCACAGUUUAAGGUUCUUUAAAUCCUGUGCAAAAUAAACACUGUCAAUGUUUCCAUUAAAAUACAGACACAUGACUGGAUCUACAAAACCAUUCCAGUUGUUUCAAGUUGUAUAGACUGUUUUAAACUGGAAUAAAAA